AUCCACAUUCCUGGCCUGUGCUGUGGUUCUACAGGCAAGACCCAUGCAACCCAGGAAUAGACAAGAAAAAGAGCCGAAAUCUUUGUGACAAUGCUGGAGAAUGGGUGGUGAGCAAAGCAUUAUGCAACAACACCGUUAUGCAACAACACCUUGCCUUUUACAAGCUCCCUGGAGUUUUUUAUUCUGUAAUCAUGUAUUUAUGUUGAGAAAAAUGUUAAUUUUGGAUGGAUCAGAAAUGCAAAAUCAUUCAACUAUCAGAAUAACGCAAGAAGAGAGGACACUCAGGCUGAUUAGCAGAGUUUUUUUCUUUGUUCCUUUUUUCCCCUCUCAAAUCACAAUGACCUAAGAUCAGAGCCUUCUGAUCAUUUAUGCUGCUACCUUAGGAUCCAGUUUCAUUCUACAACUGGCUGAAGCAUGAAAUGAACUAAAAUAAACCGAAUUGAAUGGAA